AAGGCUAUAGCUCAGCUGGGAGAGCGCUUGCAUAGCAUGAAAGAGGUCAGCGGUUCGAUCCCGCUUAGCUCCACCA
rnacentral:tRNA from 1 species